UUUAAAAGUUUAGUUUGUAUUAUAACAUUUUGAAUUAGGUAAGGUACUAAAUUGGAGUGAACUAGGAUGAAGAUUAAUAGAAAAAAAAAGGUUUAAAUCCUUUUUUGUCCCUAAGUUAAGUGUUUCAGUUUGGUCCCCGCUUUUAAAAGUGUAAACCUUUGGUUCCUAUGAUAUACAGAAUGUAUCAAAUCAAUCCUAUCCGUUAACGAUGUAAGAACAACGUCAAAUGUCCCUAUGAUGUGGCAAUUAAGUUAUCCAACGUGGCAAAAGGAUAUGUUACAGGAAAGACAGAUAUGUAAAUUGGGAAAACUUUGGCGGCCACUACGACACCAUGGCGACAUCCUCCAACCCUCCGUUGACGCCACUUGCUAGCCACCAACAACCACCAUAGUCAGCCCUCCAUUGAUGCCACUUGCCAACCACCAACAACCACCAUGGCCAGCCCUCCAUUAACACCACUUGCCAGCCACCAACAAUCAAAGGAACCCAAAAGGCAAAAAUACAAAUUCAUGAAGAACAAUCAAGAAACUAAAUAUCCUUCCUUUCAAACUAAAUUAUUCAAGGGAAAAAAACUAGCAGGAAUCAAAUUUCAAUAUACCAAAAUUCCAAAGUGUUGCGGAACUGCUGCCCUAAAUCAGAUUCCCAAUUCCUAAAACCCUAAUCGCAGAAUCAAGGAUCCCAAAUCACUACGCCGCCACCUGCAGAGGAAACAGAGAAAACCCAAUCCUAAAAUCAGAAUCGAAAACAAGAACAGAAAACCCCUAAAUCUUCAAAUGGAACCCUAAAUCGCGAGACGCGCCAACAACGAGCACAAACCCUUGUACUGCGAAGUCGCCAGAGUCGAAACCUUGCGGUGACGCCACUGCUGCCACCCCCACGAACGGGGACCAUCGCGUUGCAGAGACGAAGUUGCGUCGGCCUCUCUUCCUUACGUGAAACGAAGCUGAUCCGAGAAGAAAGGAGAAGAAGAAGAAUGGCUAACGCGCCGCUGCGAGCCACCUGGAGAAUACGAAGAUGCCGUUAGAGUCGCACCCUCCACGCCGUCAGAGUCGCGCCCUCUCCACGCUGUUGUCGUCACCUCCAAAUAUCCCAGCCUAGGAUUGGGUCUUUCUAUGAGAAGAAGAAGAAGUCACCCAAGAUUAGGUCUUUCUGCGAGAAGAAGAAGUCACCCAGGAUUGAGUAUGCGAGAAGAAGAAGAAGUCAGGGGAAAAGUUUCAAAUAUUACAUUAAAUGCCAUGUCAGCAUUUUUUUUUACAGAUUAACUCCUCAGUAAUUUCACCCUUAUCAAUUUUAAAAUCAUUAGACGGAUAGGACUGAAGUCAAAUAAAUUUGAUAACAUCGGAAUCCAAUGUCUAUACUUUUAAAAAUGGAGACUAAAUUAAAUAUUAC
rnacentral:lncRNA from 1 species